ensembl:lncRNA
UGAACCCGGCUAAAAAUAUGAUUAUGUGAUCUGUAUUGUCUUGACAGUAGUUUAUAGCUGCCACUAUCUCACAGAAAUUCAGAUUUCUUUGGUUAUGUAUUUUUUCUGUUUUCAAACUGACAGUAAUUGUGUAACACCACUCUUUCAGGGUCCACAGGACAGCAAUUUCAUGUUAUUAUGUCAGCUGUAUGUCCUGUAUAUAUGCCCCUAAUUACACAGAAAAAUAUACAAGUGAAGUAGAUAAUUACAUCGAAUUAUAAAGAUGCAGUGCUGGUUUGUAAUCAGUACUAUCGCAACAUACUCACUACAGUCAAAAGCACAAUGAAAAACAACAUAACAUCAAUUAUGUUGUUUUUCAUUCUAUCCUUAGAAUAAAUAAAUCUAUCCUGUCAUAAAAACCUUAAAGCUAAACCUCUACAGUAUUUUAUUAUUCAAGGAUUUUUCUAAUAUGAAACACCAUUUUUUUUUCUCACUGACUGAUGUAAAUCACUCGUCUGAGAGAGAACGUAUUGAUUGUGUGUAAAACUUUAGAAAUGAAACAGGAUGUACUUUCUUCGUAGUCGAGGUUUGUGCUGUUUUUCAUUUCAAGUCAAAGAUGUGAAAGUCAAACAUCUCAAAACCUGCAUUAAUGAACUUGAAGACUGAAAUGAGCAACGCAGUCCAAUCCUAGACAGUCAGAGCCGUCUGGGACAUGGUGUAGAACAGCGCUGGGAUCAGAUCAAGGCCACCAAAUGGUCACGUUAGAUUUGGUUUCAGGCUGAGGCUGCGUGACUGAAGUCUGGCUCAUUUCCACGAGUCCAACACAUGAAUCAUGCACCUGAUUGACAGACACCAGCACACCUGUGCACAACAAUUAUAAACCUAAGCAAAAUCAGACUGCCUUCAUACUGAUCUACUCAGCUGUCAAACAAUUACACAGUGAUACUAUAAACUAACUAAACUGAAACAGAAGAAUUAUGUGGACGUCUGAGCAUUGUAAACCUUCACUGCAUGUUCCAGGUGGAUUUGCAUACAUUUACUGCUAUAACAGUCUCCGCUCUCCUGUGAAGGAUUACUAACAGCCAGAUAGUACAGACUGGGAUUUCCUUCCAUUCAACCAGAGCAUCAGUGAGGUUGGGGGCUUGUGUUGAACAUUAAGCCAUCAGUCUCAGUUCAGCCCAAGGAGAUUGGACGCGGUUAAGAUCAGAUCUGUCAAGUUCAUCCAAAGGAAAGAGCAACAAAGUACACACAGCACACACAGUAGAAACACAAAAGCAAAACUUUAUACUUUUCACCUUACAGUCCACAAAACUGUUGCAGUGUUACUUUCCUCUAUCAGUGUGGGCACAUGUCUUUAGCUUUAUUUGACUCGUUGGCUCGGUGUAUGCCAUCUAUCUGCCUUAAUAAUAAAAAGUGCAUUCGAAUUUCCAUAAGAGCGAGUUAGUAAGUCCAAGUCUAUAUGAGGAUCAGGAUGCUGAAAUGCACUCAAAAUACAGCAAAAUACAGAAAUGAAUGUUUGAAUUUAUAUGCAGGCAUUCAGCCAUGGAGGACAAGUUUGACUUAAGUCUGGUGUAUGCUGGUCCAGCAGCUCGUUGUUCCUCACCUACACAUGGCUCGUUUGCAGAAAGCUGAGGACCAGGACAAGUGCAACUUUAUUUAACCUGGCAUCUUUAAUUUUCUGUUUGUCAUAAUUAAAAUGUUGGAGCGUUCAGCGCUUUUGGUUUUUUAUUUUUAUACUA